AUUUCAGACCUGCGGAACUGUACUUUCAAUCUUUCAAACUAUAACUCUUGCUGUGAAUACUAACUAUGGAUCCCCAACAUAUAGUAUAGUAUGAAUUAAAAUUAAAGCAGAGAGGAAAACACAACGACUGUUGGCGAAAUCAAGUGGAAGGAUAUGUACGAGACAGAAACUGGUAAUCCGGCUCGAACAACGCGGCGAUCUAUUACGGCAAGUGACGUAACCAGGACCAACCCCAACACGAAAUAAAAGGCCUUUUUAUUUUUUCUUCUUAUUUCCGUUUCCCCCAUAUCUGGCCCGUGUGAUGUUCAAUUAACUUCGGUUGGAAUGUGUUUACAGGCAAAAAGAAAUAUAGGAUUAGAUUAAAGUGGGUUCCGGUGUAAAAUGGGUAUUCUGACAUCUUUGUGCAAAAGAAAAAGAUCGGAAAACCGUUUUCUUCACAUAAGUCAAGCUUACUGCCUCAACUCAAUGGACGACCAAAAUACGACACUUUUUUUACGGCAAUACACAAUAUUUAUUUAGGAAUAUGCGUAUAAUUUGUAACGUGGCCUAUAUUAUGCAAGAUAAAAAUACAUAAACAUGUUGUAUUUCGUAUGUAACUACACGUAGCAACAUAUUUGACGCGUAUUCCUAAUAGGAGUGAUAAUGGAAUCCUCAAUAAUUAUUAACCUGUCUCUCCUUUUCCUUCCAGUCUAGAGAAAUUGUCUGGCCAGAGAAGAUUCCUAAGAAUCUAUACACUCAUGAUUCAAGCCCUUCUUAGAUGUGACAAGUUUAAAUGGUGUUUUCUUCAUGUUUUUAUAUAUAUAUUAAGGGUAGACAUAUAUAUAUAUAAUCAGUAGCAGCAACAAAAAUAGUUUAAAAGUUUCACUAAUGAGUUUUAUACAUGUUAAAACGUAUAUGUGUCAACUUAAAUAAAUGCAUUAAUUGAGGACUACCGAUUGCGCAUGUGCCACAUUUUGCGCUUUUAGCGUCUUUUUUUCUGACUGAAACUGGCUGCAACAUCCUUAUCUCUGGCUCGGGUGAAAAUCCGUUAUUUGUUCAGCAUCACCAAGGCUUCUAAUGAUAAGUAACGUAA